rnacentral:rRNA from 1 species
UACGUAGGGGGCAAGCGUUGUCCGGAUUUAUUGGGCGUAAAGAGCGUGUAGGCGGUUUGGUAGGUCCGCUGUGAAAACUCGAGGCUCAACCUCGAGACGCCGGUGGAAACCAUCAGGCUAGAGUCCGGAAGAGGAGAGUGGAAUUCCUGGUGUAGCGGUGGAAUGCGCAGAUAUCAGGAGGAACACCGGUGGCGAAGGCGGUUCUCUGGGCAUUACCUGACGCUGAGGAGCGAAAGCAUGGGGAGCGAACAGG